UGUAGCAGUGAAAUGCGUAGAGAUCAAGAGGAACACUCGUGGCGAAAGCGAGCUACUGGACAAUUCCUGACGCUGAGGCUCGAAGGCUAGGGUAGCGAAAGGGAUUAGAUACCCCUGUAGUCCUAGCAGUAAACGGUGCACGCUUGGUGUGAGGGGAAUCGACCCCCCUUGUGCCGGAGCUAACGCGUUAAGCGUGCCGCCUGGGAAGUACGGUCGCAAGACUAAAACUCAAAGAAAUUGACGGGGACCCGCACAAGCGGUGGAGUAUGUGGCUUAAUUCGAUGCAACGCGAAGAACCUUACCAAGGCUUGACAUGCAUCUCUAAACACGUGAAAGCGUGUGACCCUUCGGGGAAUUUGCACAGGUGCUGCAUGGCCGUCGUCAGCUCGUGUCGUGAGAUGUUGGGUUAAGUCCCGCAACGAGCGCAACCCUUGUGAUUAGUUGCCAGCACGUUAAGGUGGGAACUCUAGUCAGACUGCCCAGAUCAACUGGGAGGAAGGUGGGGACGACGUCAGGUCAGUAUGGCCCUUACGCCUUGGGCUGCACACGUACUACAAUGCCCAGCACAAUGAGAACCGAGACCGCGAGGUGGAGGAAAUCUGUAAAACUGGGCUCAGUUCGGAUUGGAGGCUGCAACUCGCCUCCAUGAAGUUGGAAUCGCUAGUAAUGGGGCAUCAUCUACGGCCCCGUGAAUACGUUCCCGGGUCUUGUACACACCGCCCGUCACAUCAUGGAAGCCGGUCGCACCCGAAGUGCUCGUACUAACCGCAAGGGGGUAGAGUCCUAAGGUGUAGCUGGUAACUGGGAUGAAGUCGUAACAAGGUAACCAAGGGCGAA
rnacentral:rRNA from 1 species